rnacentral:rRNA from 1 species
UACGUCGGGGGCUCGCUUUUUCCUUAAUCAUUGGGCGUAAAGCGCGUGUAGGCGGUCCGGUAAGUCCGCUGUGAAAGUCGGGGGCUCAACCCUCGGAUGCCGGUGGAUACUGUCGGGCUUGAGUACGGAAGAGGCGAGUGGAAUUCCUGGUGUAGCGGUGAAAUGCGCAGAUAUCAGGAGGAACACCAAUUGCGAAGGCAGCUCGCUGGGACGUUACUGACGCUGAGACGCGAAAGCGUGGGGAGCAAACAGG